GGACGAUUAGCUCAGUUGGCUAGAGCGCUACCUCGACACGGUAGAGGCCGCUGGUUCGAAUCCAGCAUCGUCCA
rnacentral:tRNA from 1 species